rnacentral:rRNA from 1 species
UACGUAGGGGGCUAGCGUUGUCCGGAAUCAUUGGGCGUAAAGCGCGCGUAGGCGGCCCGGUAAGUCCGCUCUGAAAGUCCAGGGCUCAACCCUGGAAAGCGGGUGGAUACUGCCGGGCUAGAAUCCGGAAGAGGCGAGUGGAAUUCCUGGUGUAGCGGUGGAAUGCGCAGAUAUCGGGAGGAACACCGGUGGCGAAGGCGGUUCUCUGGGCCUGUACUGACGCUGAGGAGCGAAAGCGUGGGGGAGCGAACAGG